GACGAACGCUGGCGGCGUGCCUAACACAUGCAAGUCGAACGAAGAGCGACGGAUUCUUGCUUCUAUCAAUCUUAGUGGCGUACGUGUGAGUAACGCGUAAUCAACCUGCCCUUCAGAGGGGGACAACAGAUGGAAACGACUACUAAUACCGCAUACGUUCUAACCUCGGCAUCGAGGAUAGAUGAAAGGUGGGCUCUACAUGUAACCUAUCAUCCACGUAGGGGAGUGCGUCUGAUUAGCUAGGUGGAGGGGCAAAGGCCCACCAAGGCGAUGAUUAGGAGCAGGACUGAGAGGAUGAACGGCCGCAUUGGGAGUGAGACGCGGCCCAGAGUGAUACAGGAGGCACCAAGGGGGAAACGUGCGGAAUGGGCGAAAGACUGACGGAGAAACGCCGCGGGAGUGAUGACGGACUUCGGGUUGUAAAGCUCUGUUAAUCGGGAGGAAAGGCCUUCUUGCGAAUAGUGAGAAGGAUUGACGGUACCGGAAUAGAAAGCCACGGCUAACUACGUG
rnacentral:rRNA from 1 species